UUUUUUUUUUUUUUUUUUUUUUUCUUUCUUCGCCCGCGUUGCUUCGCACCCGCUGCGACUUCAAAAAAGACUGUGA
rnacentral:ribozyme from 1 species